AACGGGGUGUUAGGGCACGACACCGGAGAGGGAGCCUGAGAAACGGCUACCACAUCCAAGGAUGGCAGCAGGCGCGCAAAUUACCCAAUCCCGACACGGGGAGGUAGUGACAAUAAAUAACAAUACGGGGUUCUUUCGGAUUUCGUAAUUGGAAUGAGUACAAUUUAAAUCUCUUAACGAGGAACAAUUGGGGGGCAAGUCUGGUGCCAGCAGCCGCGAUAAUUCCAGCUCCAAUAGCGUAUAUUAAAGUUGCUGCAGUUAAAAAGCUCGUAGUUGAAUUUCGGGACCAAUAUGUCGGUCGUGCCUCGGUACGUACUGGCAUCGUUGGUUUCUCCCUUCUGACGAACCAUGAUGUCACUUAUUUGGUGUCGUGGGGAAUCAGGACUGUUACUUUGAAAAAAUUAGAGUGUUUAAAGCAGGCUCACGCUUGAAUACAUUAGCAUGGAAUAAUGAAAUAGGACGUUUGAUUCUAUUUUGUUGGUUUCUAGGAUCGACGUAAUGAUUAAUAGGGAUAGUUGGGGGCAUUAGUAUUCAAUUGUCAGAGGUGAAAUUCUUGGAUUUAUUGAAGACUAACUACUGCGAAAGCAUUUGCCAAGGAUGUUUUCAUUAAUCAAGAACGAAAGUUAGGGGAUCGAAGACGAUCAGAUACCGUCGUAGUCUUAACCAUAAACUAUGCCGACUAGGGAUCGGAUGAUGUUA
rnacentral:rRNA from 1 species